GCGCCGGAACUGCACGUUCCUAUGGAAACCGAGCCUGCGCAGGUGGUUCAGAGGAGGCUCGAGCUGUUGGCAAAUGUGGAAGUUUUUUAAGAUGCUUAUUUAUUUUAUUAUAUUUGUUGGUAGACUUGGCUCGGCUGUUAAAAACCUUGUUUUUGUGUCCCAGUGGGGAGUGAAAAGACGUUUUAUGAAAGGAACAGUUGAGUGACCAAUUUUUGCACCGAAUUUUUAUCUGGGGUUUGUGAACAUUCUUGCGCUUCUCACAAGAAGCCCUAAUUAGAUGCAGCUCUCCCCAACGCCCCCCCCCCCCCGCCCCCCAGGCUCAUACUAUAGCUGAAGCGUGGACCUAUUUUGUCUGCACACUGUAAUAAGGUUUGAAUUUAGAUGUGGAAACUGACUUCGGAGGAGCCAAGUGUCUUACCCAUAGCUUCCUAGCUGGGGCCAACCACUGCCACAGGACUGAGGGGAUGGUUACAUAAAUCUGCGGAGCCCAGUGCAAAAUGAAAAUAUUUUGAGAAUGUUCAACUUGAAAGAUAUGUUAUUUUCCAGUGUUCAUGAAUAUCUCCAACACUUUACAGUGAUUCAGUUAAUGGGGAGUACCUUGUAAAGGUUGGUUGAUUAUUUAAUAACUGUCUCUGAGUUUGACUAUAUAUAGCUAAAUUUAGAUUUUUAAAAUAUAUUUGUUAUACUUUCUGAUUUCUCAAUCAAUAUUAUUCUCUUUUUAAGAUAAAGGCAAACAACCAUAGGAAUAAAAUAUGGUUACCACGUGCACACUUGAAUGUUGAUUUGAAAGGUACAUCCACUUUUAAGGUGUCUACUGAAAUAAGAUUCUUCUUUCUCGUAACAGAUGGUUUGUGACAAAUUUCUUUUCUUUGAUAGACAACCUAGACUAUUUUCAGGGUAUCUAUUAUAUGUGUAAUAAAAAUUUAUUCAUGUCAGGGCGCCUGGGUGGCUCAGUCAGUUCAGUGUCCAACUCUUGAUUUUGCCUUAGGUCAUGAUCUCACAGUUCAUGGGUUUGAGCCCUGAGUCGGGCUCCAAGCUGAUGGUGCAGAGCCCGCCUGGGGUUCUCUCUCUCCCUCUCUCUCUACCCCUCUCCUGCUCUCUCACUCUCUCAAAAAUAAAUAAACUUAAAAAAAAAAUCUAUUCACAUCUCUGUGGGUUGGUACAGCCAAAGCAGGAAGUAGUGCUCCAUGUCAGCAGUGCCUCUUCUGGUAACAAAGUUCCUGGGGAAAAACUGGUUGAACAUCAGGGGCAGGAUUCUCUUUUCUCUUCUGGAAUCUAGCAAGCCAUUUUUAUUACUACACUUUAAAUCUUGUCAGGAAGUGAAAUGUUUAGUUAUCUUAACGUGGAUUACAAUAUUUUUACUCUGGGAGGUUUUACGUGGUUAUAAUUAAACUUCAGUUCUCUCUACUGUGUGUAUUUGGUCCAGGACAUGUGCCUUUUGAGUGUUUGUUUGCUUAGAAAAAAAUCUAUCUUCCUUUUUUCAAUAAACUAUAAAAAUACAAAUAAACUCUUUGAGUACUUUUUUGAGGAAUUGUUUUUAAAUUUCAUUAUCUUAAGUUCUAUUUUAUUUCAAGGAGUUAAAUGAGAUGUAUUUUAGUUUGAUUUUAGGUUAUUCAGUGAGCUGAGGCCCAUGCCAUCUAGUUGUAUGAUGGUUUAUAUGCCUUUUCAGUGACAUCUUCUUCCCCUCCUUCAGAGGACAACCCAUCUGGAGAAGGAUUGUGGCAGUGAAAACAAGAUUUUCCUUUUUCCUUCAUCUUCUGCCUUCACUUGGCUGAUUUCAUCUGUAUAAGCUUUUCGAAACCCUAGCCUCAUAGCCCUUGACCUUCCCAAUUCAAAAAUCUUGGAGUUCUGUUUAUUGUCUGUACUUGCCACUCAACAUUUGCAAUUUGCCAUCAUGCAGAGCUGCUCAACUUCAGAGAUUUCAUGUCUUUGUUCUUUUAUUUCUACAACGGAAACUGUUAGCUCCCUUCCCUUGACCAUCAGUUGUUUCACUGCCUUACUCCCAGUUCUGCAGCCAUUUGUAGAUCUCACCUGUCUCUCUAUUCAACCCAGACUAUUCUAGAGACCAUAUCAUGUGCCCUCACUUUUGUAAACUUUUCAUAGUCCUGCUUUGUCAAUACCCAGCCCUGGCGACAUACAAAUACCUGAUUUACUUGUACUCGCAUUCCAGUCUCAUUGUGCAGCACAGAGUCACGUAUCUUGAUAAAUUAUCUGUAGCACAUGAUUUCCAAAUAGAGAGGAAUAUUGGAAAAGGAGUGGAGACUUGAAGGAAUGAAGAAAGGUGAGUAGGUCAGCUUGAUGGGCUUGGGCGGAGGGGAAAUGAAGGAGAAUGGAACUAGAGGGGCGAAUUAGACCUUCAUAUCAGAGCAUAAAGGAAUCAUUCUAAGGAGUUUACACUCAUCCUAAGGGUGGUGAGAAGUUGAGAAAAUUCUGAGUUGAUGAAUAAUGUUCUUAGAACUACAUUUUUAGAAAUAAAAUGUUGCCAGCCGUGUGGGAGGCUAUUAGCAUGUGAAGAACGAUUUGAAGGAUAUCAGACUAGUUUAGAGGCUAUUGAGAUGGUACAGUCAUGAAGUAUUAGGGCCUGGACUGGCCAGCUGGAAUAGGGACGGAGAACUCUUUCUCCUUUACUGUAUUCUGUGGACCAGUGUCCUGUGUCACGUUCAUAACGCUCUGCAGCUCUGUAGGAGACCUUUGGAAAAAGCUCUGGGCUCUUUACCAAGAUGACAUGUCAAUUCAUCUUUCUCAUGGGAGACAAAUGAGUUUGCCAAACUUUUUUUCCUAGUUAAAGCCUGGUGUGUAUCUUUCCAUGGGUAGAAUUAUUCUGCGUACUGUAACAAGGGGGUGUAGUGUGUAAUGUUUUCAAAAUUUCUCUGAGGAGCGUUCCUUUGUGUAGAAAUGAUGGCAGAUUCCAAUUUAAUUUCUACCAUAGAUCAGAAAUGAUAUUUCCUCUCAGUGCUCUAAAUAAGGUGAGACCUGUGAACCUACCUGAAAUGAUUUAAGAAGGUUAUAAUUGAAUUGUCACCCAGAUCGUACAGUCUUUGCCAGAGAGGUAACAAAAACAUUUGGAAAUAACUUUCUAUUUUUAAGACAGUCACCAAACUUGACCACAGAGCCUGCCUAGGAGGUUGGUACACCUCUCUGUUGUCCUUAUGACCCCCCCUGAGCUAAGUGAAUUGAUGGUCCUAGAUAAUGCUGAUUGACAACUCACAACCUUGAGAGAAGGAUGGAAAGAGCAAGAAUCGAUUUGGAAUAUCCCUUGGCAUUGCCUUGGAAAGGAAAUAAAGGUAUAGUAUAAAUUCUUUGGGCUUGUAUCUUCUGUAUCUUUUGACACCCUGAAAUUUCCAACUUACUGUAAAAAAAUAUUCUCAGAUCUGGGCUGAAGAGCAGAGAGAUUUUUAAUUUUGUCGGAAUAUUCUCGUGUUUCUGAUAGUCAAGUAGCUAGAACCUUUCAAAUGGCAGCCUUGAAAAAGAAUAACAGUAGAUUGAAAUUAUACUCUGACUACUGUGGCUCCAGUUCCUUGUUACAUGGCCUGACUGCUAUGUUUUUCUGUUAUCUUGAAAAUUUUAAGAGGGGAAAUAAGUAAGGUUUUGCAUUCAGUUAGCCAUUAGGGAGUGGAAAUUCAACCCUUAAUUUUUAACAAAGUUUAUGAAGUAAGUAUUUGCGAAUUUAGCCUGAUUUAGAAUGAAGUUGAUAUUUUAUAUAAACAUGUAUUCUUUAUUGUAGUUCUCUUCUUCUAACUUGUGUUAAGGUGUGUGUAUACUUGCUAUAUUCUCCCUAACCACCUGCUAUGGUAGCUUUUGGAUGGCUGGAGAUGAAUUUCCAAUUUUUGGAUCACUGCCACUUCUACACAGUAUUAACCUCCACUGUUUCAUUUAGUAGGGUCAAAACAGCUACGUGUGAGAUCUAUCUCAAUAGUGCAACUGUUAGUCCAGGUGAAAAAACGUUUUUGUUAAUAUAUUGAGUCCCUUGAACUUAUUUCGAUGUAGUCGUGUGAAUACUGACAGGGCAUCUUUUAAAUUUCGUCUUAUUUAAUAGUACUUCCUUGAGUGCUUACAUUUUCAACAUCUUUGUGAGGGAUUUGAAAUACAAAGAUAAAAUGAAGUCCCGGUUGUCUAGUAGGGGCGAUAGUUAAUUAUGGAUUGGAAGUCCAUUUAAUUUUUCUAAAAAGGAAUCUUUGAAAUCUUGCCUUGAUUAGCUCUGUAUUGCAUGGCAUUUAGCACGUAUUCUGUAGUGGAGUUUAGCAUGAUAGAAAUACAAUAAUUAUUGCUGUGUGGAUUGUGUGGAAAGUAAGGUAGCCUCUCUGAGUUGGGGAGAAGAAAUGAGUUCUGAUAGUUUUUGGUAUUCCAGAGCUUUCAUUCUUUCUCUCUCUCUCUCUCUCUCUCACCCACACACAAAAAUUCUGUACCCAAAUGGCUUUAUAUAUAUAUGCUUUUUGGCCAAAGCUAUUUCCAUUCUAGUGUUAUCAUUGGGGUGGGAAGGAAUAUGAAAUGAAUUUAAGUCCUUACUCCCAACAACAAAUCCAAUGUAGUGGAUAUGAAAUCCCUGAUGCUCUAAGUCAAGAUCUGGAAAAAAAAGGAAGUAUCUGUCAACCCUUUUCUGGAUUUAAAUUAAUGAGACACUGGGAAUCAGCAUGGUUCAGUAGUUACAUUGACCCCAAAAACACAAACUAUAGUCAUUAGCUCUUUUGGGGUUUUGAUGUUUUAUAUUUUUGUAUUUCAGUAAUUCUCUGUGGGUCUUUGGCAUUGCUACAUGUUUUAUAAACUAAGGCACUGCCUGCCUCAUCUUAGACUAUCUGUUUAAGGGUGUUUUUAUAGCAAACCCUCUAGGAAGAAAGGAAGGGAAAUUUCUCACUAGAGAGCAAAGGGCAGAUGGUUUCAUCUCCACUGUGAUGAAGAUCAUGUCUGCCUCUGGGGCAAAAUUCAAGCAGGCUGACUGCCCAUUAGAAAAGAUUUGGGCUUGCUAAGCUCGAGUUCCUUUCCUGUGAGUACCGCCCCCUGCGUACAGGUGUUCCUUGGCCUGUUUUGCGGUGGCCCAUGGCAAUUGAGGCUCAGAGACCUGCAGCAAAAGUGAUGAUGCUCUGGCUACAGCUAGGGCUCGACUAACGAAGUGUGCUUUUCUUUCUGGAUUAGGAGUAUAGUGUUGUGAAACUAUGCCUAUGACAUUGUGGUACACUAACUUGGAAGCUUGCAAGUACGGUAGAAAUCUGAGCUUUCACAGUUCUUGACGGAUACAAGAUGUUAGAGCUGAUUUCCUAUUAUAGAACCAAAUGAUGCUGAAAUGUGGAUGAUCUGUCAUUAUUAAUCUGUGACAUGAUCCUAAAUUGUUUCUUUUUUCCCAAAAGUCACAUGACUUUUUUACUGUUAUUGUUAUAAAUAUGGCAGAAACAAGGACAGUCAUUUGAAAGCUGCAGGUAGAAAUACUCCCCCAGGGAAUAUUACAAUAGGAUCAUUACGUGUGGAUUUUGUUGUUGUUUUUUAGUUAACUCUUAAGCUCCUCAUCUUCCACACAGAACUCUGCUUUAUUAUUUUCGCUCUUUCACAAUGCUAUUGCUUUUGAGAUUCUUAACAGGCAAAGCUUAGGAAAUUUACAGAAGCUAGGUAAGACCAAAAAUAUACAGAGUGCUUGCAGAUCAAGCCUCAUCCACAACUCUGUGGGGAAUCAAGCAAACGGCAAGAGUGUAAUGCAGUCCUUGUAAUUUCAGUUCUCUUUUCUGUUUUAUCUCUCUUGGGGCUGAUGUAUCCAUCACCUAUUUCAGUGGAGUACAUACUGAGGUGAAGCUUUGCUUAGUAUUUUAUUGAACCUCAUAUGAGAUUAAAAGGAAAAGUCUGUUCUUUAUGUGUUGUGUGUGUGAGUCUGUGUGUGUGCACAUGAGUGAGUUUUCUAUCAGUGCACAUAGAAGCUUGGAAUGAUUUCCUCACAUCUGUAAUCAACAUCUGUCUUCAUAAAGAGAAUUCUUGACAAACAAAAGGAAGGCAAAUACAGUUCUUUUGCUCUUUGUUUUUUCCGCAUUAUCAUUGAGUUUGGGCUGAUCACUAACACAUUUUUAAACAAGCCUGUGAAGCAGGUAGCGGGCUGAAGCAAUUUUUUUUUGUGAUAUUUGGUUCUGUGCCAAUAUCAGUUUUACUUUAGCUCAUUAACUUCUGGAGUGAAGAACCUCUGCCUUAUUCAUCUUUGAAACUCCACACUGGACUCCAUCUGCCCUGGAACAUAGGAGGUGCUCAGUAAAUGUUUAUUUGUUUGAAUUGAUGAAAAAAUAAUAAUUGGACUCACAAAUAGUAAAUGGACACAUUUUUAGUGGAACGAAUGCCUGGAAGGAAUUAAGAGAAUGGUUUACUUCAGGCAGAAUAAUGCUUCUCAUUUCAAACAUCCAGAGGUGUUAAGGGGUACCUGGGUGGCUCAGGUUGAGUUUCCAGCUCUUGAUUUUGCUCAGGUCAUGAUCUCAUGGUCUUGGGAUCAGUCUUCAUGUUGGGCUCUGCGCUGAUGGCGCGGAGCCUGCUUGGGAUUUUCUCUGUCUCUCUCUGCCGCUUCCCUGCUCGUGCACAUGUGCUAUCUCAAAAAUAAAUAAACUUAAAAAUUUUUUUAAAAAUUAAAAUAAAAAAUGAGCCUUUAGCAAUCUUCUGCUAUUUUUAUAAACUUUUUGUCUCUUAUUAUAAUUCAAAUAAAUAAUUACAGCUAACAUUUACUGAGAGUUUAUCAAGUGUCAGGUAUUGUUUUCAGCUGUCUCCAUAUUACCUCAUUUAGUCGUCAAGAUACUAAUGAAAACAUUUUAUUAUCUGUUUUGUGCAAAUGAGGAAAUGAGAGGAUAGAUAACGUCCAGGAGUCACAGUUGUCAGGACAAUACAGAGUCAGAGGAAGUUCCUAGGCUGAUGUCUUAAUACUGCCUCUUAGAGAAGGGUGGAUAUGCCCUUGCACAUGCUGAACAUGUUCCACGAUCUGCAGCAACUGCCUAGAAGAGAUUGAAAAGGAACUGAAAGGCGCACCAUGUUGAAACUUACUGUUACAACAAACAAAAAUUUGGCUUCAAAAGCAUUCUGGUUUCUUUAUCCGUGGCAAGAAUUUAUUUUCCAGGCAUACUGGCUGGAACCCAUUAAACUUGGAUAUUGGUGCGAAGAGAAAACAUACAUUGUACUUGACCUAAGAUUAAACUGUAGAAAGACCAUUCCACAUAACAGGUAUCCAAUAAAUACUUUUUUGAUAGACUGAAGAUGGUAUUAGAAUUCUAAAAUGCUAUCUCAUUUUUAGACUGAUCUAUAAUUAUACUUAGCAAACUUUCUCAUACCCAUAAUCCCUUUGUAGGAAUGUAUAUCCAGAUCUUUGGUUAUAAUAUAGUAUUGAUUCUGAAGUAAAUUUUAUGUGUCUUUUGUAUGGUAUUGUGGUCAAUUAUGGGCCAGCAAAUGUUUUUCUGGUGAUGUAAUUUACUGACAUUCAAGAGUAAUGCUACAUGUGUAUAAAUAUUCAGGCUAUAAAAUAAAUAGAUCAAGAUUCAGAAAUCCAAAAGCUUGGUGGGAAUUUUAUAAUAUAAUAUAAGAAAAUUAACUUCUUCAGAAUGGAAGCUCUAAGUUAUUGCAGUUUUAGUUUCCAUCAAACAGAUGGAGAGUUCAGAAAUUUUUCGGAAGGAAUAGUCUUUAAAAAUUUUUUUUAAUUUUAUUUUUUUAUUUUUUUAAAUUUUAUUUUAGAGAGAGAAUCUUAAGCAGCAUGGAGCCCAACAUGGGGCUUGAUCCCACGACCCUGGGAUCAUGACCUGAGCUGAAAUCAAGAGUGCUACACUCAACUGACUAAGUCACCCAGGACCCCCUGAUUUUUAAAUUUUAAAUAAAAAUAUAAAAUUAAUUGACAUAAGCAUAUUUUGGAUUAUCCACAGGACCACUUAUAACCAAGUCCUGAGAAAGGAUUUUAACAGCUGACACUUGCUUUACCUGAGUUUCUCAACCCCCAUGUUACUGACAUUUGGAUUAGAUGGUUCUUACUUGUGGGGACAUGACCUGUGCUUUUAGGAUGUUUAGAAGAAUCCUUGCAUUCUACCUCCUAGAUGCCAGUACUCCCUCUUCCCAGCUGACCACCCAAAAUGCCUCCAGAUGUUGCCAUAUAUCCCCUAGCGGACAAAAUUGCCCCCAUGGAGAGCCAAUGUGCAUUUGUGUCUAAGAAUGAGUUUAAGCAAAGUGGCACUUAAAAUGUGCGAUACUAUGGAAAGAGUAGAGGCGAAACUUAAUACAUAAAUGAUGCAUUUCAUACCAGGUAAAGGCCAAAUGGCAUCACAUGACAAUUUAAGGCUUUACAAUAGUUUUAAUAGAAAAGUCUUAGAACACUUGAAUGAUAAGAUAUCAGAAAAUACUGUAAGCAUUCAGAACAAAGAUGACAGAUGUGUGCAGAGGCAGUUAAAUAUCGUAUUUACGUUUAGCUGCAACAUAAUAGCAUCAUCUAUCUCACUUAAUUAAUGUUAAUUGAAUUUUAUUGAUUUUUAAAUUUUGUUUGUAUACAUUGGUAAAUUUGUUUUGGUUGUAGACUUAAUGUUCCAAACAUAAGCUCUAAGCAUAAGGAGUUUAUACUUAGUUUUGUGUUUAUACAUAUUUAACAAACAUAAUAAUAAAGAAGAAUUUGUCAACACCAGAAAUCCUCAAAGAUUAUUUUUUUCCAUUGAAGGGGAUAACUACAUUUCUAAAGCUUGAGAAACACUGGAUUUGGGGUAUCAGAGGCUGAGUGAAGAGAGGGGCAGUGGACCAGUGGGAGGAGAAGGACAUUGGUGAGAAAGAUGGGGAAAACUCUAGGCUUAGAUUCUGGACUCCUGCUGUAUCAUUUUAAUUUGUGUCAAGUACAUAAGACAUAAAAAUCAACUUCUAUUUUUAUAACUAGCUCACAAAAUCACAGAGACUGUUGAGUUAUUUUAUAUUUUUCCUUUUGACAAAAUUGAAAAGUUUAUAAACAUACUUGUGCUUUGUAUAAACCACCAUAUGGAAAGCACGCUUAUUCAAAUGAGCUCAUUUCAAUUUUGAUCAAAACUGAAGGGACAUAAGAAUUAGGGGUGGAAUUAAGUACCUUUUCAGGUGAUUUUGACAACUUACUGUGUCACAUUCUACAAACAGUAUGCAAUCCCUGUGAUUUUACAGCAGGUGGAAUGACCUCGCAGGCUGUGGAACAGGCUCUCUUUAGCUGACACGCUCCCUUUCACAUUAUUGUUGUUACCUUACUCCUCUGCUGGAUCCCUCUGCUCAAAGAAUCCUUGAAGACUCUCCUGCCUUAUAAAGCAAAGGAGAUGGAAAACCCUCCCCUUCUAGCCAUGACUGCCUGCCUUUUUUUCCUUUUAUUCCCUUCCCUUGAAGGGUGUUCUGGAGUGAUGGUCAGUAAAGUAAAACCAUGAAAUUGAUUAUAACUGGUCAUGGUUUCACUGUCUGAAGUGGAAGAGCCAGACCCUUCUGCCGAAUCCAUUUCUCUCCAUUCCCAGAAUGGGAAGAUCCCUAGAAUAAUUGAUUCAUCCAGCUCCAGGACGGCUGGAGAUUAUAUUCUGCACUGGUCUCCAGAAUAAGGGGAUGUGGAAAAGUAAUUAAGGAUUGGAAAGCAUUUCCUAGCUUUCUGGAAGGAAGGCACUUUUUUUCAAUCUACGUACCAUGGAGAGAGAUGGUUGGACCUUCUCCCCUCAUCUAACAAUGGCCUAGACAUCUACACUGCUAUAGAUAGCCAGGCCAGAGACUCUCAGUUUUAAUAUAGACUCUAAUGAAUCAACACUGGUUUUGAAGGCUAAAAAGAAAAAAGCUUUGGAAGAGAGAGAGAGGGGGCUUUCUGAGGAGAGAGUUUGAAGAUAUUUGCAGUGCACUGGGAACCUUGUUGUUCUCCAUUUAUGGGGAAGCAGGAUUUUGAUUGUAUCAUGUAUCUCCAUGGAAUUUGGGGCAUUUGAAGAUUUGUGGUGGUAUUGCAUUUCUAAAGGGACACAAUAAAAAUCCAAGAAGUAAAUUAGAGAAAAAAUUCACUGUAUCAUUAGGAUGACCCUCUGCUAAUUAGGAUCAU